rnacentral:rRNA from 1 species
AUUGAACGCUGGCGGCAUGCCUUACACAUGCAAGUCGAACGGCAGCACGGGAGCAAUCCUGGUGGCGAGUGGCGAACGGGUGAGUAAUAUAUCGGAACGUGCCCAGUCGUGGGGGAUAACGCAGCGAAAGCUGUGCUAAUACCGCAUACGAUCUACGGAUGAAAGCGGGGGAUCGCAAGACCUCGCGCGAUUGGAGCGGCCGAUAUCAGAUUAGGUAGUUGGUGAGGUAAAGGCUCACCAAGCCGACGAUCUGUAGUUGGUCUGAGAGGACGACCAGCCACACUGGGACUGAGACACGGCCCAGACUCCUACGGGAGGCAGCAGUGGGGAAUUUUGGACAAUGGGCGCAAGCCUGAUCCAGCAAUGCCGCGUGCAGGAUGAAGGCCUUCGGGUUGUAAACUGCUUUUGUACGGAACGAAACGGCGAGCUCUAAUACAGUUUGCUAAUGACGGUACCGUAAGAAUAAGCACCGGCUAACUACGUGCCAGCCGCCGCGGUAA